rnacentral:misc_RNA from 1 species
GUGGGAGGGGGCUUGCCCCCGAUGGCGGUGGGUCAGUCAACUUAUCUGUAGCUGACACACCCUAAUCGGGGGCAAGCCCCCUCCCAC